GCCAGCUUAGCUCAGUUGGUAGAGCAACGGAUUUGUAACCCGUAGGUCAUCAGUUCGAAUCUGAUAGCUGGCU
rnacentral:tRNA from 1 species